rnacentral:rRNA from 1 species
UACGUAGGGGGCAAGCGUUGUCCGGAUUUAUUGGGCGUAAAGAGCGUGUAGGCGGCCAUGUAGGUCCGUUGUGAAAACUCGAGGCUCAACCUCGAGACGCCGAUGGAAACCAUGUGGCUAGAGUCCGGAAGAGGCGAGUGGAAUUCCCGGUGUAGCGGUGAAAUGCGCAGAUAUCGGGAGGAACACCAAUGGCGAAGGCAGCUCGCUGGGACGGUACUGACGCUGAGACGCGAAAGCGUGGGGAGCAAACAGG